GGGGGUGAAUUGGUUUCGACCGGCGUCAAGGCCCUCCACGGGAAGCACCGGGAACCGGGUUCGAAUCCCGGCAUCUCCAUCG
rnacentral:tmRNA from 1 species